CCUACGGGAGGCAGCAGUGGGGAAUUUUGGACAAUGGGCGAAAGCCUGAUCCAGCAAUGCCGCGUGUGCGAAGAAGGCCUUCGGGUUGUAAAGCACUUUUGUUCGGGAAGAAAACGUCUGUGUUAAUACCACGGGCGGAUGACGGUACCGGAAGAAUAAGCACCGGCUAACUACGUGCCAGCAGCCGCGGUAAUACGUAGGGUGCGAGCGUUAAUCGGAAUUACUGGGCGUAAAGCGUGCGCAGGCGGCUAUGUAAGACAGGUGUGAAAUCCCCGAGCUUAACUUGGGAAUUGCAUUUGUGACUGCAUGGCUAGAGUGUGUCAGAGGGAGGUGGAAUUCCACGUGUAGCAGUGAAAUGCGUAGAUAUGUGGAGGAACACCAAUGGCGAAGGCAGCCUCCUGGGAUAACACUGACGCUCAUGCACGAAAGCGUGGGGAGCAAACAGGAUUAGAUACCCUGGUAGUCCACGCCCUAAACGAUGUCAACUAGUUGUUGGGUCAAUACUGACUUGGUAACGUAGCUAACGCGUGAAGUUGACCGCCUGGGGAGUACGGCCGCAAGGUUAA
rnacentral:rRNA from 1 species